rnacentral:rRNA from 1 species
ACUCAAAUGAAUUGACGGGGACCCGCACAAGCGGUGGAUUAUGUGGAUUAAUUCGAUGCAACGCGAAAAACCUUACCUACCCUUGACAUGCUAGGAAGCUCGCAGAGAUGUGAGUGUGCCCGAAAGGGAACCUAGACACAGGUGCUGCAUGGCUGUCGUCAGCUCGUGUCGUGAGAUGUUGGGUUAAGUCCCGCAACGAGCGCAACCCUUAUCAUUAGUUGCUACAUUUAGUUGGGCACUCUAAUGAGACUGCCGGUGACAAACCGGAGGAAGGUGGGGAUGACGUCAAGUCCUCAUGGCCCUUAUGGGUAGGGCCUCACACGUAAUACAAUGGCCGGUACAGAGGGCUGCCAACCCGCGAGGGGGAGCUAAUCUCAGAAAGCCGGUCGUAGUCCGGAUUGUUCUCUGCAACUCGAGAGCAUGAAGUUGGAAUCGCUAGUAAUCGCGGAUCAGCAUGUCGCGGUGAAUACGUUCCCGGGUCUUGUACACACCGCCCGU